rnacentral:lncRNA from 1 species
UGUGAAGGGGCGCCUUCCUCCAUAACUUUCUUUAGGUUAUUAGACUGACUUAUGAACUUUGAGCGCUGGUCAUCAGACCUACUUCACAUGGAGCCUCGAGACCCCUCCCUCGAAUUAUCAGACCCUUCCCCCUCUGGCCAUCAUCCUCCUCCCUCUGAUCAUCACUGUGCGCCCUUUGACCAUCACCCUCUUCCCUCUGGCAUCAGACUCUCCUCCCUCUGCCCAUCCUCCUCCUCCCUCUGACCAUCAGGCCCGCCUUACUUCCUCAUACCAGCAGCCGUGGAGUGGAUCUUCAACAAGCAGCCAACAGCAGCCAGGGACAGAUCCUCGGGCACUGUUUUUCUGUCCGAAAAAUCAGAAUCGUAUCAAAGGGUC